rnacentral:tRNA from 1 species
GCGCCCGUAGCUCAGUUGGAUAGAGCGUUGGCCUCCGGAGCCAAAGGUCGUGAGUUCGAACCUCGCCGGGCGCACCA